UGGCCGUACCAUGCUGAAUAUACCGGUUCUCGUUAGAUCACCGAAGUUAAGCAUCAUUGUACUUGGGUGGGUGACCACCUGGGAACACUGCGUGCCGUU